rnacentral:rRNA from 1 species
UACGGGGGGGGGCAAGCGUUGUUCGGAAUUACUGGGCGUAAAGGGCGUCGUAGGUGGCCAACUAAGUCAGACGUGAAAACCCCCUCGGCUUAACCGGGGAACUGCGUCUGAUACUGGAUGGCUUGAGAUUGGGAGAGGGAUGCGGAAUUCCAGGUGUAGCGGUGAAAUGCGUAGAUAUCUGGAGGAACACCGGUGGCGAAGGCGGCAUCCUGGACCAACACUGACACUGAUGAGCGAAAGCCAGGGGAGCAAACGGG